UACGUAGGGUCCAAGCGUUAUCCGGAAUUACUGGGCGUAAAGAGUUGCGUAGGCGGCAUAGUAAGCAGAUAGUGAAAGGGUGCGGCUCAACCGCAUUUCCAUUAUCUGAACUGCUAAGCUAGAACAUGGGAGAGGUACCUGGAAUUCUCGGUGUAGGAGUGAAAUCCGUAGAUAUCGAGAGGAACACCGAUGGCGUAGGCAGGGUACUGGCCUAUUGUUGACGCUAAGGCACGAAAGCGUGGGGAGCGAACGGG
rnacentral:rRNA from 1 species